rnacentral:tRNA from 1 species
CGUCGGCCAGCAGGGCGGCGGUGCGGGCCGCCUCCGCGUCGGCCCGCUGGCGGGCGUAGGCGGCCAGUUCUGCGCGGGUGUCGACGC